rnacentral:rRNA from 1 species
UACGUAGGGUCCGAGCGUUGUCCGGAAUUAUUGGGCGUAAAGGGCUCGUAGGCGGUUCGUCACGUCGGGAGUGAAAACUCGGAGCUUAACUCCGAGCCUGCUUCCGAUACGGGCAGGCUAGAGGUAGGCAGGGGAGAGCGGAACUCCUGGUGUAGCGGUGAAAUGCGCAGAUAUCAGGAAGAACACCAAUGGCGAAAGCAGCUCUCUGGGACGGUACUGACGCUGAGACGCGAAAGCGUGGGGAGCGAACAGG